AUUGUGUGAUGGCGAUACAAUCAGACAGCAGCCCAGAAGAAUAAAAAUCGGGAGAAAUAGGCACGUUCACAAGGAAUCGACGACAGAAGCGGAAAUUAGCUACGUGGGACCCUUACUCAUGCUCUCUAUUUUGACUACUUACUAUGAACUACGUAGUAUUAAUUUCAGUGGAAUAUGCCAAGACCCCCAAGGUGUUGUCAAUUAAGUAGGUCGGCCCAAGGAAUUAAGCCAGGUAGAUUAUGGUUCUAGCCAAGCAUGGACGUAGUGACAUGUAUGGCAUAUGCAAGGUAUACCCCAAAUUCAAAUACUAUGUAAGUCACGCAAGGCGCCUACUACGUACAUAGUAGCCAUCAUAUCUCCCAUGUCCUCAAAGGCGGCCCGCAAUCUCGCAGUGGCACAUACAUGCGAUCAUCGUUCUGACAGUUAACUGUGGCGAGAUGUCCAAUUCAUAGGUCAAUAGCCGGUGAGUCACGGCACUGGACGGAAAUGGGGACAUCGGUACGUCGAAGAAGGGAAUAUCACAAAAAAAAAAAAGGGAAAAAAAAAAGGAAAAAUUUUUUAUCAGAAAAUUUUGUCUUUGUGCACGGUGAAUCUGGUUGGAGGAUAAAUUCUACUAUGAGUUAAGAUGGAUGGCAUGAUAAUGGAGGGAGGUAUUCUCUGGCGUGUGUGGAAUGGAUGGAUGGAUGGAUGGAUACUCGGGUCAGCCCACUUUUCGAGGAUAAUUCGGAUACCGUUGCCGAGAAGCAAGUAAGCUUUCGAUUGACGUCACCUGAUACUGAAAAAGUUUGUGGCAUUGUUAUGAUUAGCUUUCUUCUAGUUCUCAUUUCUUUUGUCAGUUUGUCGAGUACAUGACGAGAGCAGAGGCUGAACUCUCCUCCUCGAUGGUCAGCAGUUUGGAGAAGCUGAUACACCAGCUGUGUCCCAGACUCCCAGUGGGCAUCAUAGCCAAGCCGGAAUAAGCAAGCCUGCCCAACAGAGAUUGAUUCAUCUUUGCAACAACCAAAAUGAUGCGUGCAAAAGAGAAGGAUGACGUCAAUCCCCAUUCUGCAAACGCACCAUUCCACAUUGGGUAAUCAUCCGGCGCUAUUCCGUUUCUGGUUAGCGGUCGAUCGUCGCCCACCGGCACCGACGGUCUUGGCAUAUUUCAUCUUUUACUAUGGGAUUCUUCACGAGUCUGCAAGACUGGCGAAUUGUUCCGCCGUCUUCCGUCACACAAUGCGACUCGGCUCCCUCGAGACUCUCUCUCUCUCCGCUCAUGCAUGAGAUGAGUUGUCAGAUGACCCUCGAUAUGAUUGAUAUCUCUGCAGAUAUGCAUCUACGUCAAUCCGGCACACUCCGAUACGUGCCAGACUGGAAAAGUCGGGGUAGACCGUAGACAAGAAUGUGGCAGGGUGAAAUGUGAAUAUAGGGUUGACACUUGACACAUUCCUGACCUCCUAGUUGAAUUUAAUCAAAGCCCUAACUACUUAAUGUUGACAAUGUGAUGCCCCGCCGUAUCCUGCCGGGUUUACCUUGCAGACCAUGAUGCAAGGCUUUUCUUACGUACUCGCGAUUGAUAGACCUCAUGAGGUACUCGUUAAUCACUUAUUUGAUACAAAAGUAUAGACUGCGGUAAAUUCAAUGUUUCUCCGAAUUUGAUUUCUUUUAAAUUUUUUAAGGUUCGAUAUAUGUUAAAACUCUGAACCUACCGAUAAUUUGAACAGCAGGUUCGGAGGUUAUUUUCUUCUUGUUUUGUCCCACGGUGAUCAAUAUGCAACCCCGUACUUCGAAGGAGCACAUGACUUUCAUGUCAACUAAUUAAGUUACUCCGUAGUUACCGUGUGGUCAAUAUGUCAUCCCCUCAAAGCAGGGCUGUCUCUACCAAGGGCGAGUCCUCAAUACCCAAUCUUCGACAACCCUUACCGUCCAGGGUAAAAGGAAGGUUACUAUGCCCUUCCAAUCCUUGAUUGGUCUGCUCAACUUUGGAAGGGGGGCGCCCCAUUGGAUUGAUUAUAGGUAUGGAACGAGGUCUUGUACGAGAUGCAGGGAGCUGUGUUUAAUCUCUCCCCACCUAUGUAGCUAGCACAUGAGGAAUUCUUGUUGGAUACUCGUUGCCAAUCCAAUUCCUCAGGGCAUAUACCAGCGGAACGACCAUUCAAUCAGGGCAACGGCGAGAAAACCUUAAGUAGAAACGUAGUGCAGAUUUUUAGACUUUGA
rnacentral:lncRNA from 1 species